GUAGGGGUGAAAUCUCGUAAUCCUUGGGGGACCACCGAUGGCGAAGGCAUCCCACCAGAACGGGUCCGACGGUGAGGGACGAAAGCUGGGGGCACGAACCGGAUUAGAUACCCGGGUAGUCCCAGCUGUAAACGAUGCUCGCUAGGUGUCAGGUGCGGUGCGACCGCAUUUGGUGCCGUAGUGAAAACUUGAAGCGAGUCACCUGGGAAAUCA
rnacentral:rRNA from 1 species